rnacentral:ncRNA from 1 species
GAAGAAUCCUUUGUAGCCGACUUAAAUAUGCGACGGGGUAUAUUAAGUGGCAGAGUGGCCUUGUUGCCAUGAUCCACUGAGAUUCAUCCCUUCGUCGCCUCGAUUC